rnacentral:rRNA from 1 species
GAUGAACGCUGGCGGCGUGCCUAAUACAUGCAAGUCGAGCGAACAGAUGAGGAGCUUGCUCCUCUGACGUUAGCGGCGGACGGGUGAGUAACACGUGGAUAACCUACCUAUAAGACUGGGAUAACUUCGGGAAACCGGAGCUAAUACCGGAUAAUAUAUUGAACCGCAUGGUUCAAUAGUGAAAGACGGUUUUGCUGUCACUUAUAGAUGGAUCCGCGCCGCAUUAGCUAGUUGGUAAGGUAACGGCUUACCAAGGCAACGAUGCGUAGCCGACCUGAGAGGGUGAUCGGCCACACUGGAACUGAGACACGGUCCAGACUCCUACGGGAGGCAGCAGUAGGGAAUAUUCCGCAAUGGGCGAAAGCUUGACGGAGCAACGCCGCGUGAGUGAUGAAGGUCUUCGGAUCGUAAAACUCUGUUAUUAGGGAAGAACAAAUGUGUAAGUAACUAUGCACGUCUUGACGGUACCUAAUCAGAAAGCCACGGCUAACUACGUG